CCUACGGGAGGCAGCAGUGAGGAAUAUUGGGCAAUGGAGGCAACUCUGACCCAGCAACGCCGCGUGAAUGAUGAAGGUCUUCGGAUUGUAAAGUUCUGUGAUGGGGGAUGAACACAAUGACGGUACCCCAAUAGCAAGCCACGGCUAACUACGUGCCAGCAGCCGCGGUAAUACGGAGGUGGCAAGCGUUAUCCGGAAUGACUGGGCGUAAAGGGUGCGUAGGUGGUUUAGUAAGUUGGCGGUGAAAUUCCGGGGCUCAACCUCGGCGCUACCGCCAAGACUAUUAGACUAGAGUGCAGGAGGGGUAAGUGGAAUUCCUAGUGUAGCGGUGGAAUGCGUAGAUAUUAGGAGGAACAUCAGGGGCGAAGGCGACUUACUGGACUGUAACUGACACUGAGGCACGAAAGCGUGGGGAGCAAACAGGAUUAGAUACCCGAGUAGUC
rnacentral:rRNA from 1 species